UCAUGAUGCAGUUUGAGCCCGUGAUGCCA
rnacentral:piRNA from 1 species